GGACCAAAAGGCAAAAAAAAAGUCAUGACAGAGCAGGUUCAGAGUGAUCAAAUCACUGAGGCUUCAGCGGAGGAGAUCCAAAAGUCCCUGAGUGGAGUGAAGCUGUCUGCUGAUCCACCCCAGAGUGAACUGGACACUCUCAGCGUGGACCAUGGUGGAGAGCAGGGGUUAAGACGUCGUCUGAUGAAGUAUGUCUGUGAACUGGAACUGGACACAAACA